CAGCAUGGGUUGAUCAGCCCGUGUAAACAAAAUGCUGUCCACAUUAAACCUCAAACCAAUAUCGGACACCAACUUAAAAAUAAUGGAACAGCCAGCUAAUGAGGUGAUAGAGCAAGUUGCGACUGAAUCAGCUAGUAUUGCAGCUAGCAGUGCUAUAUUUAAUGAAAUAACUUGAAGGAAGGGAGCUCCCGCAGGUUACUUAAAUGCAUCGAUGGAUGUCCAGUCUGGUAGUCAGUUCGCAACAUACGUCACCCCAACUGUUCCAUUAAGUCAAGAGGCAUUACAAGUUACAGGCAUUUCAAUGACUGAUGUGACAAUGACAUUCAUUGGAUAGGUUGUGCAGCCAGUGUUUGGACAAUUACAUUCAUUGGAUCAGUUGGGCAGCCAAAGUCAAUAUGAGGGGGUUUUGUUUCUAUAUUUAGUAACAGUGACUUGAUCAAUUACAUAAGGUGAAAAAUGAAGGGUUGUACUUAUUAACCCCUACUUUGCCUUUUAUAUACAUGCCAAGUGUCGCCAAAUUUGCUUGAGUAUUUGUUACCCACUGAAGGAUCAAUGUCAAAGGAACAAGUAUAUGCUUAUUUAGUUUGGUUAUGAAAUUUUGCAUGAAUAUUUUAGUUUGCAAAUUGUUAUUAAAUGAAUACAAGCUUG